UCCAGCUAUUACCCCCCUUCCUCUGGGUCACUCCCCCAAAGUUCGUUGGACAUUUGCAGCCUCCUCCCCUUCCAAAAAGGAGAGUCAGGAGGCCACCUUUCCAAAUUCUUAAGAAUUUCUGUAAAAAGCAAGAAAGAAAAGAAGAAAAAAAAACAGUGGGUGGAAAGGUGAAUACACAACCUCAAUGACCACGCCAAGUUUUUACUAAACUGCUUUGUCAGCAUCUGGAUCUGGCCCCUGGGAGCCUGGAAAAAGGACUCCAGUGUUUUUACAGGAGGAGAGGAGCUCUAAGAAGCUGCUGAGUUUGCUUCUGCCUUGGGCCGGCUCUGUUCAGGCUCCUCCAGAAGCUGGGAAAACUGGAACUCGGUUAGUGACGUUGAGAGCCUGUUUGACUGAAGGCACCACACUGACUAGUCUGAAGGAGCUGAGCGGAGGAGGGCUUGUCUGUGAGGCAGAAGCUUGGAAGCUUGUAAACUGCAGCUCUGAGGAGGAGCGUUCGGUCCACCCAGCCCAGUCGCUGUCUCCAAACACAACCAUUUGGUUAGUUUGGGUAACGAGGAGAAACAAGCUGUCCACCGUCUUCCAUUCGUCACUGAAGGCCAUCCUUAUAGACAUCCAAAACCAUAAUAACCCUUCAUCACAGGAUACAGAGCAAGAAAAUAUAAACGAAUACAGGUUGGGGAAUAACAAGCUGUAGUUCUUGUCCUCAGGACAGACUGCUCCAUCAUUUAAUUCCACUACAAGAAAUAUUUUAACAGCCAUCAGUAUCUAGAAUAACUCUUUUAAAAAUGAAUGAAUCACAACAACAUUUAACUCUCUUUGGGAUGAAUAAAGUAUUUUUGAAUUUGAA